UUUACAAGUACUGGAUUUAUCCGGCCAAGAAAAUUAAUUUCUUGCAGCCAGUCGCCGAAAAUUGAAAUAAACCUUUUUGUUUAUGACAAAGUGCUAGGAUUCCCAAAGAGACAUCUGGAGCGAAAGAACCGUAAGCUUCGCAAAUUUAUCUGAAAACUCGCAGAGCCUCUUCCUUUGCAGUCUUGUGUGAAUAUUGUGGACCAAUAUCUAGCCAAGGCGGCCUGGAGAAGCUGAUUAUUUUGGCAACGGCCAAACAUGUCGUCGUUGGAUGUUCUGACAUGCGGAUCUCCAGUAAAGGGGAAACAGACUCUCAAACGGCAUACAAGCUACGAGGAUGUGCUCAAGGAAUUUAAUUAUGAGAAACUGUGCACGCCGUCUCCGCCUUCAUCUUCCAAGGUGCCACCCAAGAACAGCGCAAAGAUAUGCCUUUGUGCGCCCACCAAGCACGCAGGAUCCUUCAGAUGCCGCCUACACCGAGCUCCUCAUCGUUCUCACAGGCAAAGCCCAUCAAAGCAUUUCAGCGUAAAGAUCAACAAUAUCAACAGUCUCAAGCCCAGCCGGCUCAGUAAAAUGGCCAAAGACACGCAAGUGAGCAAAGAUAUUGAAAGUCCCUCUCCUGUCAUGGCGGAUUAAAGCUCAGUCAGCUUGAAUGUUUUUCGUUUUGUCUAGACUGGAAUGGAAAAAUUUAAAACGGAUAUUCUAUUAUCUGUGAGGGUCAUGGGGAAGGUUUCAUGGCUUCCUACGAAUUGUGUUCUUUUAUAGACAAAUUCAUCUGAAAUGCAUUGCUCUUUUAAGAAAUUCGGUAAUAUGUAAUCUGAUAUCAUAUCAUUUAAACCCGGGCUCUUAUUAAUUCCUACCGGGAGGAUACUAUGAUUUUCGAUAUUCAAUCACUGUUUUAUUUGCUCUGAUUUUC